CCAAGGCUUUUAUUUUGAAACGCAGUCAGAGCGGCGCAGACGCCAGCUUUUAUUUUGAAGGCUACACCGUCUCUCCCAGCAAAGUGUGAAACCAGGCAGGUCUAAUCUGGAUCCAGGUUCCGGUCCUGGACCUCAGAAACAGUUCAUACACUUACUGACCCGGACGAGCCGCCGCUAAGCCCCGCCCACCUCCCCAGCAGCCGAUCGUUCAUUGGUCCGUGCAGAUGACCCGUCCUCUCCGGAUUGUGUGUCCAGCUGCGGGUUUUUGUCUCUGAUCAGUGGACUGAGAGAAAGCGGUUUGCCUCGCGCCCCACGCAGCUCCUCCAGAGCCUUUCUGAUCAGCUGAGCAGCAGCAGAGAGGAAAACCUGCAGACUGAACUUUGACUUAGAAGCAGAGAAACUCUACCUGACAAUGGCCUCAAAACCAAGAAGAAGAUUUAGCAAAGACCUGCCUCCUGAUCUGUCCGAAUUAAUGAACAAACUCAUCAAAUAUGCAACUUCAUUUAUCAGAAGAUUUGACAACAGUGAAGACAGGAUGAGACAGGUUGUAGGAGAGUUUAAGAAGAUCGCCGCUGAAGUCAGAAAGAUGCAGGAGAAGACAGAUAAAGCCAGAACAAUAGGAGUUGUUGCUGGAGGAAUUGGACUUGGAGUCUUGGUCCUUGCAGCUCCGUUUACUGGGGGGGCUGAGCUUAUUAGGAGCAGGAGCAGCAGGAGCAGCAGCAGGAGGAGCUACUGUUGUUGGUGCAAACAUAGUAAAAACAAUGACAGAGAAUGGAAGUGCAAAGGAAGUAGAAAAGCAGGGGAAAAAAUUCCUGGAGAUUGUUGAACCACUGAAGAACGAGCUGGAAGAAAUAAAGAGGACGUGUGAACGGUUGGAGGAAGAAUCAGCUGCAUUUCAGGCUGAGAACACUCUGUCAGACAUGGAGGAGUUUCAGAGGAUCCUCAGACGAGUGGCUGAACUGAAACAGGAGAGUCAGGGAGCUGUGGAUGUAGCUGUAUUAGUGAUGGGGUUGAUAAAUGAUCUGCUGGUGCUUCUUGUUAAUGUCUUCAGACUCACUCCGACCCCUGAAGAGGACAGAAAGUUAACAGCCUCCAUCCUCCAGUCAGCUGAUCAGUGUCAGAAGGUCUCUGAUCAGUUUCUUCAGGUGAAGAAUGAACUGUCCUCAUUUACAGGACAGUGAAGAGGAAGACUCCGAGCUGCAGCGUGAAGAAAAACAUCCAGACUCAUGUCCAACAUCUCCAAAGCCUGAUCUGUGAGCUCAGCCUCUAAAUGUAAAGGCUGCUGAGCUGAACUCCCUCCUCGGUGUUUAAUGUGGAUCUGCUGACUUCCUGUCCUGCAGGAACACGAUCAGUAGAACUCACUUUACUGAGUGGAUAUAUCUGUUGAUGUGUCUGCUUGAUAUCUGCAGUGACGUCAGUAGCUGAGCUCACUUUUCCUUCAGCAGCUUCAUUUUAGACUUCUUAUUGUCUAACUCUGAUCUGAAGUCAGCUCACAUUUCUCUUUCACUCAUUUUCUUUCAUUUGCUCUCUUUGUUCUCAUUCAUUCUCAUACAAUCACUUUGUUUAACAGGUCGAGGAGAUUUCCUCUUUUUAUUGACAUAUUACAGGCUUUUCGUUCUGUUUGUGCCGUUAACUGAGAAGAUUUGAAUAAUUUUUUUGUAAAUGUUUGUUUUUAUUUGAGUUUUGAGCUGUGAUUUGUCUGUUUAAUUAUUUUUUUCAAGUACAUUUUUUUAUUAUGAUUUGUUGACUUUCAAUGUGUAAAUAAAUUGAACAUAUAUUCAAUAUAAAUCAUCAAUACAUCAUCAGGUAUUCUUUAGUAGUCAGAAUAAAAUGUAAACUCUCAUUAAUCACAAUAAAUCUUUAAUACCAUC